UCUGGUCCUCGAGGCAUUUUUCUGCAAGGGGAAUGCACGCAUCCAACGAUCUUCUCGUCUCUCUAAUUUCUUCUUUCUUUCUUUCUUUCUUUCUUUCUUUUUUGUCUCUACUUUGCUCAAUCCCAACGUGUUUCGUGAUACCUGUUCCCUUUGGAUCAACAGUCUUUUGUACUUGAAUGCACCAUUCAUUAAUUUGUAUUCAGGGAUUUAACUCUUUAACUCUUUUGUUUAAGGAAAAUUUUGGGGCGGCUUGGUGCAAAAAGGGAGAAGUGGGUGCAAGUUCUCCCCAGAGGAAGAGCGGGUUGUGAUGGAUUUGGGAACUCGGAUUCUAGAGGAGGAGGGGAAUUAAAUUAAAUAGCUGAGAUCCUAAAGUUCUUGCUGAAUUCGGAUUGUUCUCGGAGAAUCUCCAACUGGACCGGGGGAGGAAGAAGACUCCCAUCGGAGUUAGGAUUGGAAUUUUUUUCUCCGCCGGUAUCUUGUCAUAAGGCACUGUGGCCUUGGGUCUGGCCUCUUAGGGCCUGCCCGCAGGCCCAUGGCUGAGCUAGUCACGGAUCAGACUGGGCCUGAAUACUUCGGGCCGGCCUAAGAGUCCAAAAAGUCUAGGUUACUAUCGGUAUGAUUGCACUCGCCAAUGUAAUAUGGCUCUACCCGAAGUUUAUCAUCGCCAAAUGCACGUCAAAUUGAUGACCAUUGUAAUCUGUUAAGGAGCAAACUGAUACCUUAAAAGGGUGACAAAAAAAGAUAGGAAUAUUGUUCUCGGCAGGGCUUAUGCUCCAAACUUGCAUUCAAAUGCAGCAAAAAAUAGGUCGCCUCUGUACAAUAUCUACAAAUCAUAACUUUAUCUUUGAA